GACGAACGCUGGCGGCGUGCUUAACACAUGCAAGUCGAACGAAGAGCGAUGGAAGCUUGCUUCUAUCAAUCUUAGUGGCGAACGGGUGAGUAACGCGUAAUCAACCUGCCCUUCAGAGGGGGACAACAGUUGGAAACGACUGCUAAUACCGCAUACGAUCUAAUCUCGGCAUCGAGGAGAGAUGAAAGGUGGCCUCUACAUGUAAGCUAUCACUGAAGGAGGGGAUUGCGUCUGAUUAGCUAGUUGGAGGGGUAACGGCCCACCCAGGCGAUGAUCAGUAGCCGGUCUGAGAGGAUGAACGGCCCCCUUGGGACUGAGACACGGCCCAGACUCCUACGGGAGGCAGCAGUGGGGAAUCUUCCGCAAUGGACGAAAGUCUGACGGAGCAACGCCGCGUGAGUGAUUACGGCCUUCGGGUUGUAAAGCUCUGUUAAUCGGGACGAAAGGCCUUCUUGCGAAUAGUGAGACGGAUUGACGGUACCGGAAUAGAAAGCCACGGCUAACUACGUG
rnacentral:rRNA from 1 species